UGGGGAAUUUUGGACAAUGGGCGCAAGCCUGAUCCAGCCAUGCCGCGUGCGGGAAGAAGGCCUUCGGGUUGUAAACCGCUUUUGUCAGGGAAGAAAUCUUCUGAGUUAAUACCUCGGGAGGAUGACGGUACCUGAAGAAUAAGCACCAGCUAACUACGUGCCAGCAGCCGCGGUAAUACGUAGGGUGCAAGCGUUAAUCGGAAUUACUGGGCGUAAAGCGUGCGCAGGCGGUUUUGUAAGACAGAGGUGAAAUCCCCGGGCUCAACCUGGGAACUGCCUUUGUGACUGCAAGGCUUGAGUGCGGCAGAGGGGGAUGGAAUUCCGCGUGUAGCAGUGAAAUGCGUAGAUAUGCGGAGGAACACCGAUGGCGAAGGCAAUCCCCUGGGCCUGCACUGACGCUCAUGCACGAAAGCGUGGGGAGCAAACAGGAUUAGAUACCCUGGUAGUCCACGCCCUAAACGAUGUCAACUGGUUGUUGGGAAGGUUCCUUCUCAGUAACGUAGCUAACGCGUGAAGUUGACCGCCUGGGGAGUACGGCCGCAAGGUU
rnacentral:rRNA from 1 species